CCAGAGAUGGUACGUUCCCUUCNGGGGACGCAGUGACANGGUGCUGCAUNGGCUGUCGUCAGCUCGUGUCGUGAGAUGUUCGGUUAAGUCCGGCAACGAGCGCAACCCACAUCUUUAGUUGCCAUCAGGUUAAGCUGGGCACUCUAGAGAAACUGCCCGUGAUAAGCGGGAGGAAGGUGUGGAUGACGUCAAGUCCUCAUGGCCCUUACGGGUUGGGCUACACACGUGCUACAAUGGCAGUGACAAUGGGUUAAUCCCCAAAAGCUGUCUCAGUUCGGAUUGGGGUCUGCAACUCGACCCCAUGAAGUCGGAAUCGCUAGUAAUCGCGUAACAGCAUGACGCGGUGAAUACGUUCCCGGGCCUUGUACACACCGCCCGUCACACCAUGGGAGUUGGUUCUACCCGACGACGCUGCGCUAACCCUUCGGG
rnacentral:rRNA from 1 species